rnacentral:rRNA from 1 species
GACGAACCGAGCGAACGUUGUUCGGAAUCACUGGGCUUAAAGGGCGCGUAGGCGGGCAUUCAAGUCCGUGGUGAAAUCCGGCAGCUCAACUGUCGAAUUGCCGCGGAUACUGGGUGUCUCGAGGGAGGUAGGGGCGUGCGGAACUAAUGGUGGAGCGGUGAAAUGCGUUGAUAUCACUAGGAACUCCGGUGGCGAAGGCGGCACGCUGGACCUCUUCUGACGCUGAGGCGCGAAAGCCAGGGGAGCAAACGGG